rnacentral:sRNA from 1 species
GCCGGGCAUGGUGGCGGGUGCCUGUAAUCCCAGCUACUAGGGAGGCUGAGGCAGGAGAAUCUCUUGAAUCUGGGUGGCAGAAAAUGCAGUGAGCCCAGAUCACGCCAUUGCACUCCACCCUGGGCAACAAGAGCAAAACUCUGUCUCAAAAAAAAAGAUGGGCAGGACUUCUUGUUUUUUUGGGGGGACUUCUUGUUCUUGUUGUUUCUGUUUUGAAACAGGGUCUUGCUGUCUCCCAGGCUGGAGUGCAGUGGCGCGAUCUGGGCUCACUGCAACCUCCGCCUCCCGGGUUCAAGCGAUUCUCCUGCCUCAG